GAUAGAUAGAUAGAUAGAUAGAUAGAUAGAUAGAUAGAUAGAUAGAUAGAUAGAUAGAUAGAUAGAUAGAUAGAUAGAUAACUAGACAGAUAGAUAGAUAGAUAGAUAGAUAGAUAGAUAGAUAGAUAGAUAGAUAGAUAGAUAGAUAGAUAGAUAGAUAGAUAGAUCCGCACGCACCUGCACGUUUAUGGUCAUGAGAAACACAUUUUGCAGCAUAUUAAGCUUUCAAACCCAGACAACAGUUGAGCCACCUGCAACCCUUAAGCUACCAGUUGUUGCCUGUUACGUGAAUAUAUACGAUGAAAUGUUUGCUUGCAUUCUGUCUCCUAUUCGUUGGCGCUUGAAGUUGUUUCUGAUUUGUUUCAAAUCCGGAAAGCAGAGAUGCAUCCCUAUCAUGAAACGUAGGUACGGAAAAGAAUGUGCUGACGAACUUAACCCUCGAAGCAACGUCCCGAAGAGUAAUACUUUGUCUCUCCUAACAAAAAUGAUAUUCAUAUUGAUGAUAUUCAUCUUUGUGUGAUAGGAUCUAAAUUUAUUAGGACAGUAACAAGAGAACCUGAUGCCUGAAACGAAAUCACAAAUAUAGUAAUAAAGUGUUACGAUAAAAA